GAAAAUGGAGCACGUUGUAAAUACCGUACUUACGACAGCAGCUGAACUUUUUAGCUCGGUCAUAGAACAGUUAUAUUUUUUUAAUUUGAUUUAUUUGUUAUUAGAUUUUCGUGAAGCAAUGCUGGUACAUCAAUACUAUCUUACACCAUUUUUUUCAUAUUUUACGCACCCUUUCCAAUCAGGAAGAUUAUUAAGGGGCAGGGCCAGUUUCAACUACGGGCUGUACACACAUCCGUGGAGGGGGACUGGAUGGUGAAGAACAGGGAUCGGACCCGUGGAGGGGGACCGGAUGGUGAAGAAGGGAGAUCGCCAGGCCGGGCCCAGCACCCCGAAAAAACUUUUCGGGAGUUAUCAGACUCGGGACGCGAACCCGGAC
rnacentral:lncRNA from 1 species